AUCAACCUUCCCACAGAGCAAGAUUUGAGAUGAAGUUAUGUAAUUUAUUGUCAUGCUUUAAACAUACUAUAUUUAUUUGUCCCUUUGAUAGCUUUUUUUCUCUUAGGUCCUUGGAGGCAGUGAGAUUACUGUGAAUUGACUCUUCCUGUGGUUAAUGGAAAAAGUGGCAGGAUUUGCUGAAAGUGAGGAAGCAUAUAAUGGAAGGUGAUGUGAGAAGAUCCUGUCAAUGGAAGUCUUUUAAACCAUAAAUGAAAGAAAAUCAAUGAGGAAAUGCAUCCAAAAUAGGACACAGACAAAAAUCAGCAACUUCGUGAGAAGCAUGGAGAAAGGCACAGGAGAAAAGCGAGGCAGCAGAGAGAGACAACAAGACAGCCCGCACGAGAAUGAAGGACAAAGGUGGUGGUGAAGCAGAUGAAGCACUUUAACCAGCCUCCCAAGCAUGGCGCACUCUUAAGUUAGAAAUGCUCUGCAAGACAUAGCAUGAAAACACACUUCGGGGAAAAUGUAACUGAUAAGUUACAUUCCUUUACUUUCCUGCCUCAUUAUUAAUUAGUUUCCCACAUUUUUAUACAAAGUGUUUAUUAGUUAAUGUUACAGACCCAGCAAGGGGGUUUCUGUGGUUGGCUCUGCUGCUAAUUUGCUCUGAAAACUCAAGAACUUCUAUCUGGCAUGUGGUUGAGUCCAGAAGAGUGGACUAAUGAGACACUUCCAGUUUUCCUAAUGCUCUAAGAGUCUGUAAUGCACUGCAAAUACACGUGGAAAAUUGUCUAUUGGUACAACACAGGAAACAGGAAACUUCUGCACCCAGUUAAGAUGAAGGAUAUUCC
rnacentral:lncRNA from 1 species